UGGUCGUGUUUUUUGUGAAGUAAUUACUGAGCUCUGAAGAAAAUGUUUGAGGCUGUGCUACUCUUCUCAGAAGAAAAGAGGAUAAAGAAAAUCAUUCUUCUAGAAGAAAAUGUAAUUUGAAAGAUAGCAGGGAAACUGGGCCUGUUGUGCAUAGGCUGUAGCAGGAUAAAGUUCCAUUAAGUAAGGAUGUAAGCCAGUGGAUGUCUGCAACAGAAAAAGAAAAGGAAGACAGAGAGGUUUGGAUUCACACAGACAACUUCUGUGGCUAAGUUGAGAUUUCCAGGUGAAAUCCAACCUGAAGUAAAAUGAAGACAAAAGAGCAAUAUUUAAUAAAGCCUUCAGCCUUCUUUAAAAUUCAAAUGGGUGGAAGAGCCGAGAGAAAAAAGAUGUGGCAAGAAAACCUUGUCAUUG